UAUCUUGAAGAAUUUUAAAGAAAAAAAUUGAACCCUGCAGCUUUUGAAUUACACCCGAUAAUACCACCAGGUUAUUUUAACAAAUGUCGGUUGAACUUCAGUUUGCCAAUGGUAACACUUGACGCUAAAUAUUUCAUUCUUAACUGUUUUCAGGCUAAUGCUGUUCAUUAAAAUCAAUGGCGUGAACACUCGACAACCCAGUUAUUAUGUAACUUAGUCCUGUGUCUUGUUAUUGAAAUCCGCACGACCAUCCCUAAAAUCUUGGAUAUUUCUACUCGUCUGAGAAUUACAAUAGCAAAAAUACUUGUUGAUCACGUCACGUUCUGUUUUUAUGUUCUUUGUAGGAUUUCUUUUCGGGAAACGUUUGAAGGACAAAGAACUGUUAACGAGGUUGACUUCAAGACGAACAGAGGUAAUUACGUUCUACCGGGAUGGUUUCUAUGCUGCUUAUCUUUCUAGUACGAAAUUUACCGGGCUAUAAUCCUGUCAGAAUCUAUCGUAUCUGGUAUAACAGGUAGAUCAAACUGUGUAUUGGGUUUAUUGGUGCAAGAACUGCUAAAAUUGCAACGACGGGAAGCAAUUCUUUAUUUGGGUCGGCUUUGUGGUGUAGUUUAAUCGAUAGAGAACCUGAGCGUGCCCAUUUAAUCCUUUUCUUAAUGAUUGUGGUUAGAAUUAUAGGUUUUCUCUUUGCCUGGUCAUUUGAAAAGAUUGAAGUUUGAAGGUAUCGGCUCGAUGGUCUAGGGGUAUGAUUCUCGCUUUGGGUGCGAGAGGUCCCGGGUUCAAAUCCCGGUCGAGCCCACUUCGCAUUUAUUUUUCCAUUUUGUUGUUGAUGUUAUUGCAUUGUACAUGAUGCUCCCCUGACUACCAUUGUUGGUUUUUCUUGCACGUUCCGAGUGUGUUAUGUUUAGCUGAAUUCAUUCCAUUUUUUGUGCAACAAGCUAACCGUCUCGUCAGUUAGGCAUUCCACUCUUCUUUAAAGCAAUGUAUAUCAAACGUGGGUUAGCUAUGGCGUGGUGUGGUAAAAUUGUAAAAUGGAACUCAGAUAUUUUGAAAAUGUCAUAUUGUAAAGUACGUGU